AGCUGCGCGUCGAGCACAUAGCGAACUAUUCUUUCGCCUUUUACUAAAGAAUACCGUGUGCUCAUUACAAUUCAAGCAGCUGGAGGGUGUUUUGUUUAUAAUAAUCUUCAAUCUUGA